rnacentral:rRNA from 1 species
GAUGAACGCUAGCGGGAGGCCUAACACAUGCAAGCCGAGCGGUAGAGAUUCUUCGGAAUCUUGAGAGCGGCGUACGGGUGCGGAACACGUGUGCAACCUGCCUUUAUCAGGGGGAUAGCCUUUCGAAAGGAAGAUUAAUACCCCAUAAUAUAUUUGAUGGCAUCAUUAGAUAUUGAAAGCUUUGGCGGAUAGAGAUGGGCACGCGCAAGAUUAGAUAGUUGGUGAGGUAACGGCUCACCAAGUCGAUGAUCUUUAGGGGGCCUGAGAGGGUGAUCCCCCACACUGGUACUGAGACACGGACCAGACUCCUACGGGAGGCAGCAGUGAGGAAUAUUGGACAAGGGGUUAGCGCCUGAUCCAGCCAUCCCGCGUGAAGGACGACGGCCCUAUGGGUUGUAACCUUCUUUUGUACAGGGAUAAACCUACUCUCGUGAGAGUAGCUGACGGUACUGUACGAAUAAGCACCGGCUAACUCCGUG